rnacentral:rRNA from 1 species
GGGUUUCGUAGGUGACUGCGGAGGAUCAUUA